rnacentral:rRNA from 1 species
UUAAGUUAUUAAGGGCGCACGGUGGAUGCCUUGGCACUAGAAGCCGAUGAAGGACGUUACUAACGACGAUAUGCUUUGGGGAGCUGUAAGUAAGCUUUGAUCCAGAGAUUUCCGAAUGGGGAAACCCAGCAUGAGUUAUGUCAUGUUAUCGAUAUGUGAAUACAUAGCAUAUCAGAAGGCACACCCGGAGAACUGAAACAUCUUAGUACCCGGAGGAAGAGAAAGAAAAUUCGAUUCCCUUAGUAGCGGCGAGCGAAACGGGAAGAGCCCAAACCAACAAGCUUGCUUGUUGGGGUUGUAGGACACUCUAUACGGAGUUACAAAGGACGACAUUAGACGAAUCAUCUGGAAAGAUGAAUCAAAGAAGGUAAUAAUCCUGUAGUCGAAAAUGUUGUCUCUCUUGAGUGGAUCCUGAGUACGACGGAGCACGUGAAAUUCCGUCGGAAUCUGGGAGGACCAUCUCCUAAGGCUAAAUACUCUCUAGUGACCGAUAGUGAACCAGUACCGUGAGGGAAAGGUGAAAAGCACCCCGGAAGGGGAGUGAAAUAGAACCUGAAACCGUGUGCUUACAAGUAGUCAGAGCCCGUUAAUGGGUGAUGGCGUGCCUUUUGUAGAAUGAACCGGCGAGUUACGAUUUGAUGCAAGGUUAAGCAGUAAAUGUGGAGCCGUAGCGAAAGCGAGUCUGAAUAGGGCGUUUAGUAUUUGGUCGUAGACCCGAAACCAGGUGAUCUACCCUUGGUCAGGUUGAAGUUCAGGUAACACUGAAUGGAGGACCGAACCGACUUACGUUGAAAAGUGAGCGGAUGAACUGAGGGUAGCGGAGAAAUUCCAAUCGAACCUGGAGAUAGCUGGUUCUCUCCGAAAUAGCUUUAGGGCUAGCCUCAAGUGAUGAUUAUUGGAGGUAGAGCACUGUUUGGACGAGGGGCCCCUCUCGGGUUACCGAAUUCAGACAAACUCCGAAUGCCAAUUAAUUUAACUUGGGAGUCAGAACAUGGGUGAUAAGGUCCGUGUUCGAAAGGGAAACAGCCCAGACCACCAGCUAAGGUCCCAAAAUAUAUGUUAAGUGGAAAAGGAUGUGGCGUUGCCCAGACAACUAGGAUGUUGGCUUAGAAGCAGCCAUCAUUUAAAGAGUGCGUAAUAGCUCACUAGUCGAGUGACACUGCGCCGAAAAUGUACCGGGGCUAAACAUAUUACCGAAGCUGUGGAUUGUCCUUUGGACAAUGGUAGGAGAGCGUUCUAAGGGCGUUGAAGCAUGAUCGUAAGGACAUGUGGAGCGCUUAGAAGUGAGAAUGCCGGUGUGAGUAGCGAAAGACGGGUGAGAAUCCCGUCCACCGAUUGACUAAGGUUUCCAGAGGAAGGCUCGUCCGCUCUGGGUUAGUCGGGUCCUAAGCUGAGGCCGACAGGCGUAGGCGAUGGAUAACAGGUUGAUAUUCCUGUACCACCUAUAAUCGUUUUAAUCGAUGGGGGGACGCAGUAGGAUAGGCGAAGCGUGCGAUUGGAUUGCACGUCUAAGCAGUAAGGCUGAGUAUUAGGCAAAUCCGGUACUCAUUAAGGCUGAGCUGUGAUGGGGAGAAGACAUUGUGUCUUCGAGUCGUUGAUUUCACACUGCCGAGAAAAGCCUCUAGAUAGAAAAUAGGUGCCCGUACCGCAAACCGACACAGGUAGUCAAGAUGAGAAUUCUAAGGUGAGCGAGCGAACUCUCGUUAAGGAACUCGGCAAAAUGACCCCGUAACUUCGGGAGAAGGGGUGCUCUUUAGGGUUAACGCCCAGAAGAGCCGCAGUGAAUAGGCCCAAGCGACUGUUUAUCAAAAACACAGGUCUCUGCUAAACCGUAAGGUGAUGUAUAGGGGCUGACGCCUGCCCGGUGCUGGAAGGUUAAGAGGAGUGGUUAGCUUCUGCGAAGCUACGAAUCGAAGCCCCAGUAAACGGCGGCCGUAACUAUAACGGUCCUAAGGUAGCGAAAUUCCUUGUCGGGUAAGUUCCGACCCGCACGAAAGGCGUAACGAUUUGGGCACUGUCUCAACGAGAGACUCGGUGAAAUCAUAGUACCUGUGAAGAUGCAGGUUACCCGCGACAGGACGGAAAGACCCCGUGGAGCUUUACUGUAGCCUGAUAUUGAAAUUCGGCACAGCUUGUACAGGAUAGGUAGGAGCCUUUGAAACGUGAGCGCUAGCUUACGUGGAGGCGCUGGUGGGAUACUACCCUAGCUGUGUUGGCUUUCUAACCCGCACCACUUAUCGUGGUGGGAGACAGUGUCAGGCGGGCAGUUUGACUGGGGCGGUCGCCUCCUAAAAGGUAACGGAGGCGCUCAAAGGUUCCCUCAGGAUGGUUGGAAAUCAUUCAUAGAGUGUAAAGGCAUAAGGGAGCUUGACUGCGAGACCUACAAGUCGAGCAGGGUCGAAAGACGGACUUAGUGAUCCGGUGGUUCCGCAUGGAAGGGCCAUCGCUCAACGGAUAAAAGCUACCCCGGGGAUAACAGGCUUAUCUCCCCCAAGAGUUCACAUCGACGGGGAGGUUUGGCACCUCGAUGUCGGCUCAUCGCAUCCUGGGGCUGUAGUCGGUCCCAAGGGUUGGGCUGUUCGCCCAUUAAAGCGGUACGCGAGCUGGGUUCAGAACGUCGUGAGACAGUUCGGUCCCUAUCCGUCGUGGGCGUAGGAAAUUUGAGAGGAGCUGUCCUUAGUACGAGAGGACCGGGAUGGACAUACCUCUGGUGUACCAGUUGUCGUGCCAACGGCAUAGCUGGGUAGCUAUGUGUGGACGGGAUAAGUGCUGAAAGCAUCUAAGCAUGAAGCCCCCCUCAAGAUGAGAUUUCCCAACUUCGGUUAUAAGUAUCCCUCAAAGAUGAUGAGGUUAAUAGGUUCGAGGUGGAAGCAUGGUGACAUGUGGAGCUGACGAAUACUAAUCGAUCGAAGACUUAAUCAA